rnacentral:lncRNA from 1 species
GCACAUAAAAAUAAAAUAAAUUUAUACAUACUGUAAUAUAGAAAACUAGAGUAUGCAAUUUAAAUUACAAUGACACGUGGGCCUCCAAAUAACUGAGAAGGUUUAAGUCUAUAACCUUGCUUUCUAGGAUGCAACUUCGAAAUUUACUUCUCGAUGCAAUUGACAGUCUACUGCCUAUUUUGAGCUUGAAAAAUGUAUAGGAAGAAUGAGUGAGAUUAUAAAAUCCUAGUGAGUAGACAGACAUCAUCAAAAUAAUCUAAAACCGAGUAAUAGGAGACAAUUAAAAUAAUUCAUCCCAACCCAUAUAAAUAAUUGGAUUUCAUCCAAUUACUCAACAUGGCUUAUGUACUUUUCAAAAACUUGGCCUUUGCCAAAAAUCUAUUCUCAGGAAUACCCCACGAAGGCAUCUUACCGAGACCGCCAAGGUU